AAGGAGCUCCUGGACCAGUAUUCGUCGCCAGUUCGUUGCCCCUGAUGGAAUCCAUUGCCACGAGUGGUCGCCUGAGUCUGCUGUUAACCCGGAACCCAGCUUUGUCAUUAUCCUCGGUGAAACCACGAGCCUCUGCCGAUCCUCCUCUCCACCUCGAGCCUCUGCCCAAUCCACUGUUCACCACGAGCCACGGACGAAGCCACCAGUGACGCCACGAGCCGACGGAGAUCCUCAAGCCACGUCGUGGAUUCUCCUCGUAGUCUGCUGCUCCUCAUACUCGCUUCUGAUUCAGGAUCUGAAUAUUAAACCCUUUUCUAAGAA